AAAAUUGAAAUCAACCUAAAAGCUCCAUUGUACAGAAACUGGAGCUCUAGCUCUUGAUAGAGAAAAACUGACCAUGGAAGAUUUCAGAUCCAGGUCAUAUGGCGAUGGACGAAUGCAAAUACAACACUACCAUGGUCAUGGAACCCUGGGUCCCACCUUAUCAUCAGGUGUCAGUAACAUGCAAGAUCUCAGAUGCUACAGUGCCUCCUAUGCUUCCUCCGUCUACCCAACGCAAUCCCAGACCCAGACCCAGACCCAGACCCAGAUGUUCAAGUUCAAAAAGGGCAAGUCCACAAAUGGGUCUGUUUCCAAGUCCUGGAGUUUCAAUGAUCCCGAGCUGCAACGAAAGAAGAGAGUCGCUAG
rnacentral:misc_RNA from 1 species